GGCUCAGGAUGAACGCUAGCUACAGGCUUAACACAUGCAAGUCGAGGGGCAGCAGGGCAAUAGCUUGCUAUUGCUGCUGGCGACCGGCGCACGGGUGAGUAACGCGUAUCCAACCUACCCCGCGGUCAGGGACAGCCCGGCGAAAGUCGGAUUAAUACCUGAUGCAGUCAGAAGAGGGCAUCUGAUUUUGACGAAAGAUUGAUCGCCUCGGGAUGGGGAUGCGUAGGAUUAGGCAGGCGGCGGGGUAACGGCCCACCGCGCCGACGAUCCUUAGGGGUUCUGAGAGGAAGGUCCCCCACACUGGUACUGAGACACGGACCAGACUCCUACGGGAGGCAGCAGUGAGGAAUAUUGGUCAAUGGGCGCGAGCCUGAACCAGCCAAGUAGCGUGCAAGGAUGACGGCCCUAUGGGUUGUAAACUGCUUUUAUGCGGGGAUAAAGUGCGGCACGUGUGCCGUUUUGUAGGUACCGCAUGAAUAAGGACCGGCUAAUUCCGUGCCAGCAGCUGC
rnacentral:rRNA from 1 species